rnacentral:tRNA from 1 species
GUGGCCAUCGCCUAGAGGCCUAAGGCUGGAGGCUGUGACCCUCCCAUCAUGGGUUCGAAUCCCAUUGGUCACCCCA